rnacentral:rRNA from 1 species
AACAAACACUGGCGGCGUGCCUAACGCAUGCAAGUCGUACGAGAAAGGGUCCUUCGGGGCCUGAGUAAAGUGGCGCACGGGUGAGUAACGCGUGGAUAAUCUGCCCUUCAGUUGGGAAUAACUCAUCGAAAGGUGGGCUAAUACCGAAUAAUGCUGUGAGACCUCGGUUGAUCAGCCAAAGAGAGCCUCUGCUUGCAAGCCCUCGCUGAAGGAUGAGUCCGCGUACCAUUAGCUAGUUGGUAGGGUAAUGGCCUACCAAGGCGACGAUGGUUAGCUGGUCUGAGAGGAUGAUCAGCCACACUGGAACUGAGACACGGUCCAGACUCCUACGGGAGGCAGCAGUGAGGAAUCUUGCGCAAUGGGGGCAACCCUGACGCAGCAACGCCGCGUGAGUGAGGAAGGUCUUCGGAUCGUAAAGCUCUGUCGGAUGGAAAGAACCGCAUAGGGGUAAACAGCCCCUGUGUCUGACGGUACCAUCAAAGGAAGCACCGGCUAACUCCGUGCCAGCCGCCGCAGUAAAAC